CAGCCGCCGCGGUAAUACCGGCGGCCCGAGUGGCGGUCACUAUUAUUGGGCUUAAAGCGUCCGUAGCCGGGGUGGGAAGUCCUCCGGGAAAUCUGGCCGCUUAACGGUCAGAAUGCCGGAGGAUACUCCCAGCCUAGGGAGCGGGAGAGGCCGAGGGGAUUCCCGGAGGAGGGGGGAAAUCCUAUAAUCCCGGGAGGACCACCUGUGGCGAAGGCGCUCGGCCGGAACGCGUCCGACGGUGAGGGACGAAGGCCAGGGGAGCAAACCGGAUUAGAUACCCGGGUAGUCCUGGCUGUAAACGAUGCGGACUUUGUGUCGGACAAGCUAUGAGCUUGUCCGGUGCCGGAGGGAAACCGUUAAGUCCGCCGCCUGGGGAGUACGGCCGCAAGGCUGAAACUUAAAGGAAUUGGCGGG
rnacentral:rRNA from 1 species